UCCGAUUUGUCACCGGCAGUCUCCUAUGAGUCCCCGUCUUUCACGCUGGCAACAUAGGACAGGGGUUGCGCUCGUUGCGGGACUUAACCCAACAUCUCACGACACGAGCUGGCGACAGCCAUGCAGCACCUGUGUACGCUGGUAUUGCUACCUCGUCAGGCUUUCACCCUUCUACUACGUACAUGUCAAGGCCAGGUAAGGUUCUUCGCGUUGCAUCGAAUUGAGCCACAUGCUCCACCGCUUGUGCGGGCCCCCGUCAAUUCCUUUGAGUUUCAGCCUUGCGGCCGUACUCCCCAGGCGGGGCACUUAAUGCGUUAGCUGCGACACCGAACCCGCCUAUAGGCCCGGCAUCUAGUGCCCAUCGUUUACGGCGUGGACUAC
rnacentral:misc_RNA from 1 species